UUGGCCUCCACACACAUGCUAUGGCACACACACAACUAACCUGUAAAUAAAUUUUUAAAAAAAAGUUAAUGAAAGAAUGGGAAAAACAGUCACCUAACAUUAAAAAGCAAAUAGUUAAAAAAACAAACCUUCCCCUGAAAAGGCCGGGCUGGAGGCAGCUCAGCAGGUCAGAGUGCUUGCUGCACCUGCAAAGGACCUGGAUUUCAUUUCCUGCACCCAUGCAGCCGCUCCCAACUAUCUGUAAGUCUGUUUCCUGGGCACCAGACACCAAUGAUGCACACACAUGCAUUCAGGCACUCUGAAGAGCAAAGGUGAGAGGCCCACGUAUCAAGACAAGAAAAAAGGACGUGGCAUCCAAAACUGGCCCUUUGCCUAGUCUUAGUCUCAAUCCCAGUUCCACAGCAACCUUGCUUCUGCUCAGACUGUGUGUGCAAAGGCAGAGGCCAGGUAUCGUGGCAAGGAUUGUAUUAAGCCAUUUAACCUGCCAAACUCAGUCCAUAAACAGGAAAAUAAGAGGCCAACACAAGUCUGAAAGACCUAACCUUCUUUUAAUGUGCCUUUUCUUUGAAAAUUUUCUUCCUUUCCCUGGUCCCUUUACUUCCUGCCGAAACCUGGGCUCUUACUGCGUUCACUUCUGUGAGUCUCCUCUGUCUGAGGCUCACCUGGAGCUGCCUGCUUCCCUGGGAUACGUUGGAGUAGAGGGAUUAUGUAGGCUCUUUUGUAGGAAUGGAGUCUGUAACUAUGUUGAGGCCAGAUAUACUUAACCAAUGUCUAUUAGUAUUUACAAUAAACAUCCUAAAUUUAAA
rnacentral:lncRNA from 1 species